CAACAACUAUGUGACAGAGUAGUCGUUAUUGUAUAUUUUAAAGCUCGAUUGCUUGUUAAAAUAUAUUAGUGUAUCGUUUUAAUUUUUCAUGAAUUUCUUCUGGAGGUUUACGAUAGACCGCUUGCGGAGGUUGGGAGAGCUGUGACGCUGAUGCCGCAGCCAACGGUGGUCGUGUUGCGUUGAGCUGUAGUGGAAGGCUUCGCGGAUCAAAGGUUCUCGUCUUGUUGUCACAAUGACGCUGAAUUCAGCCACCUCCCGUUCAAAACCAGCCGUGUCGGAAGUCGCCAUCACAUCGAGGUGGUGCAAUAGGGCGCUGCGCCCUUUAACCUCCACUAUAUUGCGUCUGGAAAAGCAUUGGAAGAUAACGCGCAUGGGGGUUCCAACGCUGAACCAUACCACUGCGUUUGAGUUAAGCCAGGAAAGCCGUACGGCGGCACAAACGGAGCGACUAGCUCCCGAGUCCGAGUCCGAAUCCACGCCCGAUGAUCCAACUUGGGUUCCGGGUGGUGCUGUGCGCAAGCGUAUUAAGCAUAAAUAUUCUGCUCGUACUGCUAGCAGGUCAAGGGUUGUUGUGAAGAGCCCGGAGACUCAGAAGCUUCAACCGGGGGAGUUUUCCAUACCCACGCCGCUUAUCCACGAGAAAAAAAGACACCAUCGAGAAGCCCAGGAGCCAAAUGGAGUCGCCGGUGGGAAUGCGACGAUUGCAAACUCCAACGAAGACUCGUCGCUUGAAAAUUCCCGUCCGGGCCCUGUGAAGCGGAGAUUAUCUGCGUACGGAUGGAAUAGCCGGAAGACUUGGACGGACGCAUGUAAUGAAUAUAACGAGCCGUCGUAUGUUGCCAUCGCGCAGGGGAUUUUUCAAAUUUGGGAUACAUUUCUUACAAUGACAGCUGCGGGAAAAAGUACGAGUCUUGGAGCAAGAUCGCUUAUGCAUAUGGCUCUGGGUGCAACUUCCACGUACAUUGCGAGGGAACAAGAGGCUGUGGAUAAUUGCGAGGACAAGGAUGAAAAGGUCGACAUCGCCAAUGUUAUUUUCACAGAGCUGGAAAGUAUGUACGGUACAUCUAAUACCGGGUGGAAACCACUCAAAUCACUCGUUCGUCUCCAUGGGAUUCGUUUGGUCGGUGACGCGAUUCGGAAGAGGUGGAUAUCUCCGAUGAUAGCUCGUCAGCUAGCAUUAAAUUCGAUCGAUUCGUCUUCGUACGAUGCUGCACAAGAAAUAAUAUCUGCUUUGCUCUCUGUUACCAUGAGGGUCGAAGAUCCCAGGCAUCUGGAUUGCUCUUUAUUAUCGGCCAGAAAUUUUGGUGUAUUCCAUACGCUAGCUGCAUAUGUGAACAAAGCGAGUCAUCUAAGCUUCUUUUUUCGCACGGUUGGGUCUUUAUUGAGGUGCGGUAUUGUCCCAGUUGAAUGGAUAGCUACGGAGUCCAUGAAGCCAUUCGUGACUCAUGCUAUUCGGUCGAUAUCAUGCGAAGAUCACGAUUGUUCCGCGUCUGUUUCAUUUAUUGUGAAUAUGGCCCUUGCAGCUUCUGGAUCGCAUACUUACUGCGCCAUGCCAGCUUCCAACUCAAUCGCUAUCACGGAUAAAUUACAAGAAUGCGAUGAAGAGAGGUGGAAAUUACAUUCCGCACAUUGCGACUUUUUGGAAACUUCACAAGCGAGAGCAAAUGAACAUUUAGAAACUGCUUUGAACAACAGCAUAUCAAGUAUUUUAGGUAUUCUCUGCAGUGCAUACAUCGUACGUUGUUCAAGCCGGCCACCUGCUACACCAUCCAGUGCAUCUUCAAUUCAACACAUAUUGGCUAGGCUUUCAGACAUAGUGCAGCGUGAUAUCGAGGGCACGUCCUUCCAUGUAACCCAAGAUCGCUCAAGAUCAGAGCUGUUACGAAUGGGGCAUAUUCUGAUGGCAGAUUUUAUUACCACAUCCAACAACGUGCAACCCCGGACCAACCAGCAGGCUGUUGAUCCUCCAGCGACAAGGCUUUUAAGUACUUUUGAAUAUUUUACUCGUACAUUAAGAAGCCGAAAGGACCUCACAGCUAGCCUAUCGGCCUUUGUGACCCACAUAUCACAUUGCUGCGGCCAAGUACUGAGUGAAGAUGGAUUCACUCACCUAAAAAUUUUGACGGAUGCGCUCACAGGGGACAAGCUACAACCGUACCCUACGCUUAGAGCGCUUCUAGGAAAAGUAGCAGUGGACGCGGCACUUAAUUUUGCUGAAUCUACUCUUCUUCAUCCCGAUCACCAUUCUUGGGCUGCCCAUAUACAGACCAGAGUAACGAGCUAUUCCAAUGGGCCUUCAGGGCAGGACGAAAUCUUCUCUUUAACGCCGUCUUUAGCUCUGUCCAAAACCGGUUACAUAUGGGAAGAAAGCAUUGGAGAAUGGAUUACUGCGGGUCGUCCCAAUGGAGCACGAAGGAGCUUUCGAACAUAUCAAGACCAGAUGAGCUCCCUUCCAGAUCCACUAGCUGAGCUCCCAGAUAUAAAUGACUCAGAUGAUGCGAGAGCAUCCAGAAGUUCAAGUACAUUUUCGGCCUGUUCAGAGCGGUAUGGUUCGAGCAUUACUUCGUCAGACAUUACCUCUCCAUUGUGGUCUCGGAAAAGGAAGCGUGUUGUCAAUCCCCCAAACUUGGAUUCGAGAAAACACACUAGGAUAUCAUAUCCUUU
rnacentral:sRNA from 1 species